rnacentral:tRNA from 1 species
GGCGUCCGCGCUGCGGACACUGCGGGACCGUCCGGCGGUUCGGCACCGUCCGCCGGUUCGGGGCCGGUGGGCGGCACC